rnacentral:rRNA from 1 species
CCUACGGGAGGCAGCAGUGGGGAAUAUUGGACAAUGGGCGAAAGCCUGAUCCAGCAAUGCCGCGUGAGUGAUGAAGGCCUUCGGGUCGUAAAGCUCUUUUACCAGGGACGAUAAUGACAGUACCUGGAGAAUAAGCUCCGGCUAACUCCGUGCCAGCAGCCGCGGUAAUACGGAGGGAGCUAGCGUUGUUCGGAAUUACUGGGCGUAAAGAGUACGUAGGCGGUUAUUCAAGUCAGAGGUGAAAGCCCGGGGCUCAACCCCGGAACUGCCUUUGAAACUAGAUAACUAGAGUCUUGGAGAGGUUAGUGGAAUUCCGAGUGUAGAGGUGAAAUUCGUAGAUAUUCGGAAGAACACCAGUGGCGAAGGCGACUAACUGGACAAGUACUGACGCUGAGUACGAAAGCGUGGGGAGCAAACAGGAUUAGAUACCCUGGUAGUCCACGCCGUAAACGAUGAUAACUAGUUGUUCGGUCACUUGGUGACUGAGUGACCGCAGCUACGACAUUAAGUUAUUCCGUCCGUCGGGUAGGUACGGUCGCGAGAAUUAAACUAACAAGAAGUUAGUACGGCGUGAGACGUGCCGAACGGACGACGACGAGGGAGGUAGG